rnacentral:misc_RNA from 1 species
CACCUUCAGGGUCAUAUGAAAGUACGACAUUGCUCACAUUGCUUCCAGUGUUUAUUUUAU